CACGUAGGGUGCGAGCGUUGUCCGGAAUUAUUGGGCGUAAAGAGCUCGUAGGCGGUGUGUCGCGUCGGCCGUGAAAACCUGCAGCUUAACUGUGGGCUUGCGGUCGAUACGGGCAUCACUGGAGUUCGGCAGGGGAGACUGGAAUUCCUGGUGUAGCGGUGAAAUGCGCAGAUAUCAGGAGGAACACCGGUGGCGAAGGCGGGUCUCUGGGGCCGAUACUGACGCUGGAGGAGCG
rnacentral:rRNA from 1 species